rnacentral:rRNA from 1 species
GAUGAACGCUAGCGAUAGGCUUAACACAUGCAAGUCGAGGGGCAGCAUGGUCUUAGCUUGCUAAGACUGAUGGCGACCGGCGCACGGGUGCGUAACGCGUAUGCAACUUGCCUCACAGAGGGGGAUAACCCGUCGAAAGACGGACUAAUACCGCGUACACUCCAUCUUGGGCAUCCAAGGUAGAGGAAAUGAAAUUCGCUGUGAGAUAGGCAUGCGUCCCAUUAGCUAGUUGGUGAGGUAACGGCUCACCAAGGCGACGAUGGGUAGGGGAACUGAGAGGUUGAACCCCCACACUGGUACUGAGACACGGACCAGACUACUACGGGAGGCAGCAGUGAGGAAUAUUGGUCAAUGGGCGAGAGCCUGAACCAGCCAAGUCGCGUGAAGGAUGACUGUCUUAUGGAUUGUAAACUUCUUUUAUACGGGAAUAACAAGAGUCACGUGUGACUCCCUGCAUGUACCGUAUGAAUAGCAUCGGCUAACUCCGUG